AAAUACCGGAGUAAACCGGUUAA
rnacentral:snRNA from 1 species